rnacentral:rRNA from 1 species
GAAGAGUUUGAUCAUGGCUCAGAUUGAACGCUGGCGGCAGGCCUAACACAUGCAAGUCGAGCGGUAACAGGAAAGUGCUUGCACUUUUGCUGACGAGCGGCGGAC